UAUUGGCUUAGUUAGGAGGCGUAUAUCAAUCUUGAUCAUCAAUACUUUUCUGUAUUGUUUUGAUUUGUGGCUUUUUGUUUUCUGGAGAAGCUUCUGGUUUUUUUAACCUAUCAAGCUUCUCCACUAAAAGUUUCAGACAUCA